rnacentral:rRNA from 1 species
GACGAACGCUGGCGGCGUGCUUAACACAUGCAAGUCGAACGGAAAGGCCCUGCUUUUGUGGGGUGCUCGAGUGGCGAACGGGUGAGUAACACGUGAGUAACCUGCCCUUGACUUUGGGAUAACUUCAGGAAACUGGGGCUAAUACCGGAUAGGAGCUCCUGCUGCAUGGUGGGGGUUGGAAAGUUUCGACGGUUGGGGAUGGACUCGCGGCUUAUCAGCUUGUUGGUGGGGUAGUGGCUUACCAAGGCUUUGACGGGUAGCCGGCCUGAGAGGGUGACCGGCCACAUUGGGACUGAGAUACAGCCCAGACUCCUACGGCAGGCAGCAGUGGAAAAUAUGACACAAUGGGAGGAAGCCUGAUGCAGAAACGCCGCGUGCGGGAUGACGGCCUUCGGGUUGUAAACCGCUUUCGCCUGUGACGAAGCGUGAGUGACGGUAAUGGGUAAAGAAGCACCGGCUAACUACGUG